GGAUAAGUUGACGUCCCGCUCGGAGCUCUACUGCAGCAUCGAUGAGGGCUGGAGCAGCCCCCAGGGCUUUGCCAUGAACAAUCAAGGAAUCAUGCUGGAAGGAGACUUGGAGACCCCCAGCACCACCCAGAUUAACCUGGAGAAGGUGGACACCUCACAGAAGAUCCACAUCCAGAAGCCAUCCCAAAUCAUCAUCCCUUGAGCAUGAUGAUGGAUGAUGGAGAACCCAGGAGCCACCAGGACAUCUCCAACCUUCCUCCCUGUGUGGUUCCAUUAACUCCCUGUUUAUAGUUGAAUAAAG